GAUAGAGUGAAGUAGGGAGCCGCAAUCGAUGACGAGGCGAUGAACUCCGAGCCAGCGACGGCGAUUUGAUUGGUGGCCAGCGUUAAUGCCUCUGCGUUUCUUCGUGCUUCUCUGCUGCAGGAGGGCUAUUGUUAGCAAAAGUGGUGGCAGUAACAUUCUGUGUCAUUUUGGCAGCGUCACUGGUACAAGACUUGGUUCAAUUCCCAUGGCUGCAUUUCAAGCUUGCCCUGCUGUUGCUUUACAGGAGUUGAUUUGAAGAAAGCAGAGUGAUUUUUGGUCGAGUUAUAACAUGAAUAAUCAUGGUCAACAUCAAGGAGCCAUAAAGAGGAGUGGGAUGGAUGGAAGGCAUAAUAUGU